AGGACAAAGCAAGCCAGGGAGGGAGGAGAGAGAGAGAGAGAGAAACCGCAGGCCCAGAGCCAGCAACGGGCACGAACCAACGCGACCUCCCAGGCGGCGGGGAGAGAGAGAAACCAGACUACCAGAGGGCAACGACGAGCAAGGGAACAAGAGGGCGCGCGCGGCGAGGAGGAGGAGGAGGCAGUGCGCGGCGGUUGCCAAGGCGGGCCGGUCCAACGGAGCAGCCGCGGCUCCCGAGGCACAAGAGCACGCGCCCGUCAGCCACCCCGUGCCCAUGGUCGCGCGCGCCGCCGCAGCAGCCCCGUCCCCGUGAGUCACGAGCGACGGCGCAGCGCGCAGAUGAAGGUGUCCAGGAAGCAGCCGCAGCCGCAGCAGCAGCAGACGGAGGAGGAGGAAGGGUCGCCGGCAGUGGAGGCCAUGGACACCGCGGUGGUCCAGGGGGAGGAGGCGGGGUGCUCGGGGAAGGCGCUGGAGGGGGAGGGGGAGGCGGAGGCGGAAGGGAGGACGGUGGUGGUCGGCGUGCGCGCGGACAUCGAGAGCCGGGCGCUGCUGACGUGGGUGCUCGUCAAUGCGGCGGCGCCCGGGGACCGGGUCGUGGCCGUCCACGUCGUGGUGGCGUCCGGGGCUGAGGCGGCCGCCGCCGUCGACUUCGACGCCAUGCUCGGCGUCUACGAGGGGUUCUGCAACCUCAAGCAGAUCAAUCUGAAGGUCAAGAUUUGCAAGGACUCGUCGGUUCGCAAGGCGCUAGUUCGUGAAGCCAGACUGUUUGAGGCCUCCGCGCUUGUCCUCGGCCUCGCUAAGAAGAGGCGUGCAAUGUUGUCCCCUCAUUCAGUUGCAAAGUAUUGUGCAAAGAAGCUGCCUGCAAAGUGUGCUGUCUUCGCGGUGAACAAUGGCAAGAUCGAGUUCAGUAGGGAAUCGAAUGUCCACUCAGGCAAGGUCUCAGCAGAAGUUCCUCCCUGUGGUGAUGAUGAGAUGUAUUGCGUAGUGCCGUUCCGAGCCCGUCAGGCUAAAGGGGACACGGUAUCUUUAGAGGAACCUAAAGAUGAUUUUGAGGGUGACACCACCCAAGAUGUUAGCACAGAGGGCUGUAAGCCAGAGGACCCCAUCACGGAAGCACAGCCUGUCUCAUGCGUGGACCCUGUGGAUUUGUCAAGGGAUCAGGUUCAGACUGAUACGGAUCCUUCUAUUAAGGCUGAAAAGUCAACAGCUGAACAGAAAGAUGGAACUGCCGAGCUUCCUGGUCAGGGUGCCAGCGUGUUGUACUGUGUGCUUCCUGAAAGGAGUUCUGAUUCAGUCGCAAGUACUUCAAGUAGGCAAGACCAUGAUUCAAUUGAUCUGCCAGCUGAAGGCGCUGGGGAGCUAUACUGCAUAUUACCCCCAAGAAAUGGUCAUUCAAGCAGGAGUAUUGGUGAUUCUAAGCGUUCAACUGCAAGUCGGAAAGAUGAUAAAUCAGCCAAUCUGGCGCUUGAAGGAGAUAGUGACCUGUACUGCCGGCUGCCAAGGAAUGAACGUUCGGGUAGGAGUUCUGGGGGAUCCAAACGUUGUGUUGGUAUAAAAAGUAUGAUUAGGCGUAGCAGUAGUUUCUCCAGUGAUAUUCAUUUGAACUCGGAGACAUCACCUAGUAAGAGGGAUGGCUCGGUUAGCAUGGCUGCUACUGAGAGGUCGUCUUCUACUGUAUCCACAGAAGCUGAGGAUUCACCAAAUUACACUGCACGAAAUGCUGAAACUCCCUCAAGUUCUCCAAUGUCACUCAGAAGGAUGAUAGAAGGAAGAUCCGACCGCUGCCACCUCCGUAGGAGGAUCUUCAGCCAUCAUAGAAGCUCAUCUUUUGAAUGGGCCAAAAUGUCAAUGGUUCAAUGGGCAAUGAGGCUUCCAAGCCGUUACACUUCAGUCCACCCAGACAGCAAACUAUUGAAAUCGGGUGCAAGUCCAAGGUUGAACUGUGAUUCUGAAACUGAAUCUACUUCAGCUGUUGAGCCAGAAUCUAUGUUUUCUUUCGCUUUCUACGAUGUAGCAUGGCCUCCAAGUGAAUUAGAAUCACUUCGAGAGAAGUAUUCUUCAGUUUGCAGGUUGUUUAGUUAUGAAGAACUCAAACUUGCAACAGGCAACUACUCACCUGAUAUGUUAAUUGGGAAGGGUGGAACCAGCCAAGUUUACAAGGCACAACUAUAUGAUGGAACAUAUUCUGCCAUUAAGAUUCUGAAACCCUCAGUUGAUGCAAUACAUGAGUUUAUUACGGAGAUUGAGAUUGUAACCAGCUUACAACAUGAAAACAUUGUUGCACUAAGGGGAUUCAGCUUUGAGAACUACAAUCUUGUGUUGGUAUAUGAUCACAUGCCCCAAGGAAGCUUGGACAAAGCUCUUCAUGGAAAUAAUGAUGACAAGAAUUUUCUUAUCUGGGAGAGGAGAAAUAAGAUAGCAAUCGACAUUGCAAGAGCACUUGAAUUUCUCCAUCUUGGUGGUGUGACCCAAUCUGUUAUUCAUGGAGAUGUUAAGUCUUCAAAUGUCCUUCUUUCAGAGGAUUUUGGGGCACGGCUGUGUGAUUUUGGGUUAGCAAAGCAAGUGUCAGCUUCAAGUCCCCACCUAACAUGUACUGACAUCACUGGAACUUUCGGGUACUUGGCUCCCGAAUAUUUUUCGUACGGGAAGGUGAAUGAGAAGAUUGAUGUCUAUGCUUUUGGAGUUGUACUCCUAGAAAUUAUUUCAGGAAGGAGACCCAUCACACCAGGAAGCCCAAAGGGCCAGGAAAGCCUGGUUGGUUGGGCAAAGCCUUUACUGUCCAGUGGAGAAAUUAAACAGUUGGUCGAUCCAUUUUUGGGAAACGAUUAUGAUUGUGAUGAAAUGGAGAGGAUGACGCUUGCCGCUUCGUUGUGCACAAGGACAUCUUCUCAUUCUCGACCAGAAAUGUCACUGGUAAGAACACGAGUUACAUGGAAAGAACACCCGCAAUUUCAUCAAAAACAACAUCGCUCGUUCCAGAAAUCCGAUGCCGAUGUACUUAUUAUGCAAUCCAGGUUCUGAAAUUGCUCCAAGGUGACGACGAAACAAUCGGCUGGGCAAGGUUGCAAGUCACCGCCAGUUUCGACGGUUCGGAUGAGGAGACUGCAACCCCUGACGCGAACAUGCAGUCGCAUCUGAACCUUGCGCUGCUCGGAGUGGAGGAGGACGACACGCUCUCUCGCUGCAGCAGCACCGUGGACACCUCGGCCGAUGGCUACUGGAGCCGGUCGUCGAGCUUCGACUAGCACUCGAAUCUCGGAAGCGAAUGCGCUUGAUCAGAGUUGUGUGUACAGAUUCCAUGUGGUUGGUGAUUGGUGAGAUGAUUGCAUUCAGGGUUCAGGCGAUGGAAAAUGGAGGCCUUCUUAUUAGUUGGGAGAUGUGGUAGUGCUGCUAAUUUAGUUAGGAAGUUUGUAGAUCUAACCCUGCUGGGCCCUGGCCCUACGGUGCAAUUCAUAUUGUGUUAUCAGUGGUUUCAUGG